GACGAAGGAUCCAAGCGUUGUCCGGAUUUACUGGGUUUAAAGGGUGCGUAGGCGGAAAUUUAAGUCAGUGGUGAAAUCCUCCCGCUUAACGGGAGAACUGCCAUUGAAACUGGAUUUCUUGAAUAUGGUUGAGGUAGAUGGAAUAUAACAUGUAGCGGUGAAAUGCUUAGAUAUGUUAUAGAACACCGAUUGCGAAGGCAGUCUGCUAAGCCAUGAUUGACGCUGAGGCACGAAAGCAUGGGGAGCAAACAGG
rnacentral:rRNA from 1 species